rnacentral:piRNA from 1 species
CUGCCAAGUUGUUCCAGUUUGUGUGGGUGGG